UGACAUUCUCCCAGCAAUGCCCAAAUAGUGCUGCGAGGAGAAAUACCUCUGGGCCAAACUAGACAUUUCCUUUUCUUUAAACCAGUUGCUGGAUCCUUAAUUUAGACUGGGACAUGGAGCUUUCCCUGAUUUGAAUCUUCCCAAGCAACUGUCAGAUGCUGAUAAAUUAUUGAAGAACUGGGGACAAUUGUUCUACUGUGCCAUUAAGACAUGGGAAUCUUUUAUUUACUAAAUUCCUGACGAAACCUUCUGAUGGCUUCUGAAGCUACUUCAACAAAGAGUACCAAAUCUAGUCAAGAGCAAGAUCAUCUGAAGAUGGAUUUUGCAGUUUGAGGGUUGCAUCUCCUCCAACCACCAGG